rfam:Propionimicrobium lymphophilum ACS-093-V-SCH5 genomic scaffold aczIt-supercont-complete, whole genome shotgun sequence.
AGCGCAACUUGCCGGUUGGCUGCCGAUCAGGCCUGUGCACCCUGGCGCAACUUCCCCUGUGCCAGGUGGCAGACGGUCUGGUCGGUAACCUGCCGGCAAGUAGCGACUUCG